rnacentral:rRNA from 1 species
UACGUAGGGCGCAAGCGUUGUCCGGAAUUAUUGGGCGUAAAGAGCUCGUAGGCGGUCUGUCGCGUCCGUUGUGAAAACUCGAGGCUCAACCUCGGGCUUGCAGUGGAUACGGGCAGACUAGAGUGCGGUAGGGGAGACUGGAAUUCCUGGUGUAGCGGUGGAAUGCGCAGAUAUCAGGAGGAACACCAAUAGCGAAGGCAGCUCGCUGGGACGGUACUGACGCUAAGGCGCGAAAGCGUGGGGAGCGAACAGG